rnacentral:rRNA from 1 species
AACGGCAUUUAGUGCUUGCACUGAAUGGACGUCGACCGGCGCACGGGUGAGUAACGCGUAUCCAACCUACCCAUUACUGUGGGAUAACCUGCCGAAAGGCAGACUAAUACCGCAUAGUCUUCGAUGACGGCAUCAGAUUUGAAGUAAAGAUUUAUCGGUAAUGGAUGGGGAUGCGUCUGAUUAGCUUGUUGGCGGGGUAACGGCCCACCAAGGCAACGAUCAGUAGGGGUUCUGAGAGGAAGGUCCCCCACAUUGGAACUGAGACACGGUCCAAACUCCUACGGGAGGCAGCAGUGAGGAAUAUUGGUCAAUGGGCGCGAGCCUGAACCAGCCAAGUAGCGUGCAGGAUGACGGCCCCAUGGGUUGUAAACUGCUUUUGUAUGGGGAUAAAGUCAAUCACGUGUGAUUGUUUGCAGGUACCAUACGAAUAAGGACCGGCUAAUUCCGUGCCAGCAGCCGCGGUAAUACGGAAGGUCCGGGCGUUAUCCGGAUUUAUUGGGUUUAAAGGGAGCGUAGGCUGGAGAUUAAGUGUGUUGUGAAAUGUAGACGCUCAACGUCUGAAUUGCAGCGCAUACUGGUUUCCUUGAGUACGCACAACGUUGGCGGAAUUCGUCGUGUGGCGGUGAAAUGCUUAGAUAUGACGAAGAACUCCGAUUGCGAAGGCAGCUGACGGGAGCGCAACUGACGCUUAAGCUCGAAGGUGCGGGUAUCGAACAGGAUUAGAUACCCUGGCAGUCCGCACAGUAAACGAUGGAUGCCCGCUGUUGGUACCUGGUAUCAGCGGC